rnacentral:lncRNA from 1 species
UGGAACUUAGCUGAUUGGGCCAUUUCUUGUGCCCCAAUUAGUUCUCUUAAAUAUAUUAUUAUUUUACCUAUAAAAAAAAGUACAUGACGACGUAUAUAUUAUCAUCCUAGUACUGACACAGACAUAUAAAAGUAAUUUUUUUUAUCAUUCGUAAGAAAUAACUGAAUUAACAUCUCCAAUAUUAAUUUCAGCAACAGAGCAGUUCUGUUGGUAAUUAUUUCCCGGCCCCUUGGUGUGGUUAAUGAUUUUCAUGGUCUUUUUCGAUAUCCUCCACCACCAGGAUAUUUUUUAUAUAUUGAUCCACCUUCAGCAUAUCCAUAUCCUCUGCCACUAGGAUAUUGGAAAAGUUUUCGCCCUGCACCGUAUAAAUUAAUUAAAGGUCAAUAAAAUAAUUAACAAUUGAGAAAAUAAAUAAGGAAUGAAUAACUAGGAUAUUGUAAAACUAAUUAUAUAUAACGUACCGAGUGGUUGGGCAGCACUUCCCAGCGUGGAGGACAUAAGCAGUAAAAGUAUUGCUAAAAGAACAGCAAAUGACAUCAAUUUGGAGGCACGUAGGAGGAUGGCCAUUUCUAACAAUACAAAAUCCUUUUUUGAUGAUUAACAAUACAAAAUCUAUAUAUGAUAUAUGUAGCUAA